rnacentral:rRNA from 1 species
UACGUAGGCAGCAAGCGUUGUUCGGAAUUACUGGGCGUAAAGGGUGUGUAGGUGGUUGGCUAAGUUUGGUGUGAAAUCUCCCGGCUUAACUGGGAGGGUGCGCCGAAAACUGGCUGGCUAGAGUGUGGGAUAGGGAAGCGGAAUUCCUGGUGUAGCGGUGAAAUGCGUAGAUAUCAGGAGGAACGCCUGCGGUGUAGACGGCUUCCUGGACCAUGACUGACACUGAAACACGAAAGCGUGGGUAGCAAACAGG